UCUGGUAUAGUAGAGCAAUCAGGUAUUAAUCUAAGAUGACGACUUUGAUGCCAUUCUCCUUGGGUGUUUUUCUAAUAGCAGCCAUGAGCAUCGAUUUAACUACUUCUGUGCCCAUUGUGGAGGGACCCUGCUUCGACUUAUCGGAAUGCAAUGCAAUGGAAUGUUUGAAAUAUUGUACAGGGAUCGGAUAUCUUACCGCAAAUUGUCACAUUGAUGUCACUCGCUGUACAACGGCGGGAUACAGCGGUGGAUAUAGAUGCCAAUGCAGUGAUGUCGACCUUUUUCCCUACGUCUGAAAAAAAAAAAUAACCAAAUUCAAUAAACAAUAAGACUGGCCUCUCAGCCUUAUCCAUUCAGAACAUGUUAACCAAUAUAUCUGAGCACAAAGUCAAUUUAAUGUAAAAUCUUAUUUUUGGAAAAUAAACUUGUUUUGCAAUUUGUA